UGCCAGCAGCCGCGGUAAUACGGAGGGUGCGAGCGUUAAUCGGAAUUACUGGGCGUAAAGCGCACGCAGGCGGUUUGUUAAGCUAGAUGUGAAAGCCCGGGGCUCAACCCCGGAAGUGCAUUGGAUACUGGCAGACUUGAGUACGGGAGAGGGAAGUGGAAUUCCGAGUGUAGGAGUGAAAUCUGUAGAUAUCGGAAGGAACACAGUGGCGAAGGCGACUUCCUGGGCCAAUACUGACGCUGAGGUGCGAAAGCGUGGGGAGCAAACAGGAUUAGAUA
rnacentral:rRNA from 1 species